UAGGGAAUCUUCGGCAAUGGACGAAAGUCUGACCGAGCAACGCCGCGUGAGUGAAGAGGGUUUUCGGAUCGUAAAGCUCUGUUGUAAGAGAAGAACGGGUGUGAGAGUGGAAAGUUCACACUGUGACGGUAUCUUACCAGAAAGGGACGGCUAACUACGUGCCAGCAGCCGCGGUAAUACGUAGGUCCCGAGCGUUGUCCGGAUUUAUUGGGCGUAAAGCGAGCGCAGGCGGUUAGAUAAGUCUGAAGUUAAAGGCUGUGGCUUAACCAUAGUACGCUUUGGAAACUGUUUAACUUGAGUGCAGAAGGGGAGAGUGGAAUUCCAUGUGUAGCGGUGAAAUGCGUAGAUAUAUGGAGGAACACCGGUGGCGAAAGCGGCUCUCUGGUCUGUAACUGACGCUGAGGCUCGAAAGCGUGGGGAGCGAACAGGAUUAGAUACCCUGGUAGUCCACGCCGUAAACGAUGAGUGCUAGGUGUUAGGCCCUUUCCGGGGCUUAGUGCCGCAGCUAACGCAUUAAGCACUCCGCCUGGGGAGUACGACCGCAAGGUUG
rnacentral:rRNA from 1 species